AGUGAACGCUGGCGGUAGGCCUAACACAUGCAAGUCGAACGGCAGCACAGUAAGAGCUUGCUCUUACGGGUGGCGAGUGGCGGACGGGUGAGGAAUACAUCGGAAUCUACUUUUUCGUGGGGGAUAACGUAGGGAAACUUACGCUAAUACCGCAUACGACCUACGGGUGAAAGCAGGGGAUCUUCGGACCUUGCGCGAUUGAAUGAGCCGAUGUCGGAUUAGCUAGUUGGCGGGGUAAAGGCCCACCAAGGCGACGAUCCGUAGCUGGUCUGAGAGGAUGAUCCGCCACGCGGGAACUGAGACACGCACCAGACUCCUGCGGCAGGCCGCAGUGGGGAAGAUUGGACAAGUGGGGAAAGCCUGAUCAAGCGAUCCCGCCUGGGUGAGGAAGGCCUUCGGGUUGUAAAACCCUUUUGUUGGGAAAGAAAAGCAGGAGGGUAAUAACCCGCUGUUCUGACGGUACCCAAAGAAUAAGCACCGGCUAACUUCGUG
rnacentral:rRNA from 1 species